CGCAACGAGACCUCUUAAAAACAAUUAUAUCAAACAAGAUGGGAGCCGAGGAAAUAUUCUGAUACAAGAAGUAUGGGUGUGUUUUCUCUAGUUAUUUACGUGGGCUUUUUAGGAGGAUGUUGGGGACAGAUCAAUCGAGCACCUGUGUUUCUUCCUGGAGGUGACAUGAGUCGGUUUUCACUCAGGGAAGACACUCCUGUUGGUAAGUGACAGAUAAAUU